rnacentral:rRNA from 1 species
CACGUAGGGGACGAGCGUUGUCCGGAUUCAUUGGGCGUAAAGCGCGCGUAGGCGGUUCGAUAAGUCGGGUGUGAAAACUCUGGGCUCAACUCAGAGACGCCACCCGAUACUGUUGUGACUUGAGUCCGGUAGGGGAGUAUGGAAUUCCCGGUGUAGCGGUGAAAUGCGCAGAUAUCGGGAGGAACACCAGUGGCGAAGGCGGUGACUCUGGGCCGGAACUGACGCUGAGGAGCGAAAGCGUGGGUAGCGAACAGG